UACGAAGGGGCUAGCGUUGCUCGGAAUCACUGGGCGUAAAGGGUGCGUAGGCGGGUCUUUAAGUCAGGGGUGAAAUCCUGGAGCUCAACUCCAGAACUGCCUUGAUACUGAAGAUCUUGAGUUCGGGAGAGGUGAGUGGAACUGCGAGUGUAGAGGUGAAAUUCGUAGAUAUUCGCAAGAACACCAGUGGCGAAGGCGGCUCACUGGCCCGGUACUGACGCUGAGAUGCGAAAGCGUGGGGAGCAACAGG
rnacentral:rRNA from 1 species